rnacentral:rRNA from 1 species
GAUGAACGCUGGCGGCGUGCCUAAUACAUGCAAGUCGAGCGAACGGACGAGAAGCUUGCUUCUCUGAUGUUAGCGGCGGACGGGUGAGUAACACGUGGAUAACCUACCUAUAAGACUGGGAUAACUUCGGGAAACCGGAGCUAAUACCGGAUAAUAUUUUGAACCGCAUGGUUCAAAAGUGAAAGACGGUCUUGCUGUCACUUAUAGAUUGAUCCGCGCUGCAUUAGCUAGUUGGUAAGGUAACGGCUUACCAAGGCAACGAUGCAUAGCCGACCUGAGAGGGUGAUCGGCCACACUGGAACUGAGACACGGUCCAGACUCCUACGGGAGGCAGCAGUAGGGAAUCUUCCGCAAUGGGCGAAAGCCUGACGGAGCAACGCCGCGUGAGUGAUGAAGGUUUUCGGAUCGUAAAACUCUGUUAUUAGGGAAGAACAUAUGUGUAAGUAACUGUGCACAUCUUGACGGUACCUAAUCAGAAAGCCACGGCUAACUACGUG